CAAAAACAUGGCCUUUUGAAUUUAAUAUAAGUUCUGACUUGCCCAGUGAUAAUUUUAACGGCCGCGGUAUCCUGACCGGGCAAAGGAAGCAUAAUCAUUAGUCUUUUAUUAGAGGGGGGGAAUGAAAGGUUUAACGAGGAACGGACUGUCUCAUUUUAUUUGUUUUAAAAUUUAAUUUUUUAGUUAAAAAGUUAAAAUUUUAUUGGUAGACGAGAAGACCCUAUAGAGCUUUCCAUGUAAUUAUAUAGAGAAUUUUAUAUUAAUAUUUUUAUUUAAUUUUGUGUUUUGUUGGGGUGACAAAAAUAUAUAGAUAACUUUUUUAUUUAAAUUACAUUGAUAUAUGAAUAUAAGAUCCAUUAUUAUUGAUUGUUAGAUUAAGUUACCUUAGGGAUAACAGCGUAAUCCUCCUCCAGAGUUCAUAUUUACAGGAUGGGCUUGCGACCUGGAUGUUGGAUUAAG
rnacentral:rRNA from 1 species